rnacentral:rRNA from 1 species
UACAGAGGGUGCGAGCGUUGUUCGGAAUUACUGGGCGUAAAGCGUGCGCAGGCGGUUAUGCAAGACAGAUGUGAAAUCCCCGGGCUCAACCUGGGAACUGCAUUUGUGACUGCAUAGCUAGAGUACGGUAGAGGGGGAUGGAAUUCCGCGUGUAGCAGUGAAAUGCGUAGAUAUGCGGAGGAACACCGAUGGCGAAGGCAAUCCCCUGGACCUGUACUGACGCUCAUGCACGAAAGCGUGGGGAGCAAACAGG